rnacentral:sRNA from 1 species
AGGAGGAGCAGCCUCGGGUGGGACUGAGCGGAUCUUCUGGUUCCAGAGCGGCCUCUGAUUGGACAAACUUGACUUAGGGACGGUGUCUGUCUCCGAUGGGGCUUGGUAAUUGGGUGGACUACGGAGAAAGGUGGACUCCCAUUAUUGUCCCAGUUGUUUAGAAAAUAUGCCGUCGGCUGAAGCCAAACUAAAAAAGAAUAGAUGUGCCAAUUGCUUUGACUGUCCUGGCUGCAUGCACACCCUCUCUACCCGGGCCACGAGCAUCUCCACCCAGCUUCCAGAUGACCCAGCCAAGACCACCAUGAAGAAAGCCUAUUACCUGGCAUGUGGAUUUUGUCGCUGGACGUCUAGAGAUGUGGGCAUGGCAGACAAAUCUGUAGCUAGUGGCGGUUGGCAGGAACCUGAAAAUCCUCACACACAACGGAUGAACAAAUUGAUUGAAUAUUACCAGCAGCUUGCUCAGAAAGAGAAGGUUGAGCGAGAUCGCAAGAAAUUGGCACGACGUAGAAACUAUAUGCCUCUGGCUUUUUCGGACAAAUAUGGUCUUGGAACCAGGCUUCAGCGACCACGAGCUGGCACAUCCAUCAGUACCCUUGCCGGACUUUCGUAAGUUUAGACAUGAAAUGACUUUGAGGAGAACAGCAGGU